rnacentral:rRNA from 1 species
GGCGAAGCCUGAUGCAGCGACGCCGCGUGAGGGAUGACGGCCUUCGGGUUGUAAACCUCUUUCAGCAGGGAAGAAGCGAAAGUGACGGUACCUGCAGAAGAAGCGCCGGCUAACUACGUGCCAGCAGCCGCGGUAAU